ensembl:snRNA U6 U6 spliceosomal RNA
GUCAACAUCUGUUGGAUCAUUGAAAAAGCAGGAGAGUUCCAGAAAAACACAUGGCCCCUGCGCAAGGAUGACACGCAAAUUCGUGAAGCGUUCCAUAUUUUA